rnacentral:rRNA from 1 species
UACGUAGGGGGCAAGCGUUGUCCGGAUUUAUUGGGCGUAAAGAGCUCGUAGGCGGUUCAGUAAGUCGGGUGUGAAAAAUCUGGGCUCAACCCAGUGGAGCACCCGAUACUGCUGUGACUAGAGUCCGGUAGGGGAGUGUGGAAUUCCUGGUGUAGCGGUGAAAUGCGCAGAUAUCAGGAGGAACACCGACAGCGAAGGCA